GCCAAUAUUAAGGUUUAUGAUAUAGACACUUUCUGUUCACAAAUUCUUGUUCUUUAUGGAUGGAAAUAGACACUUUCUGUUCCAAUAUUAUUUAUGAAAACUUGGGGAUUCCAAGUUGGCUGGAUUCAGUAAAAGUUCAGUUUUGGUUUUUUCAAAAUGGUUCGGUUCAAUAGCAGUUCGGUUCAUAACUUGUACAUAACAGUUCGGUUCAUAACUUUUACAUAACGGUUCAGUUCAAUAGCAGUUCGGUUCACUUCAGUUCAACAGUUCGGUUCAAUUUUUGGUUUUUUAGCCCACCCCUACUCAAAAUACAAUGUUUCAAACUAAGGUGGUCAAAAUAUUACUAAGUUGUUAAUUCGAUUUUGUGGUAAGAAAUAAUCAGAAUGUUGGCACAGGCGUUUGAAAGAUAUAUAAGUAAAUGGGGCUUCUCUACCAAUUAGUCUUUUCUUUUUCUUGGUACUGAGAAUAGUUGUGAAAUUAUAGAGUUCAUAAUGUCUAGGUUCUUUGUUUCCUCUUUUUGAAAGAUAUAAAAUCAAUUAGUUAUCUAGAGAUUGUGAGAGAAUAGUCAUAUCUUGAAAACUUCAGUUUUCUGAUGACAGAUAUCUUGAAAACUUCAGUUUUCCGAUGACAGUUUGGGAUUAACAUAAUCAUUCAUUCUCUGUUUGUUAUUAAUCUUAAUUGACAAAAUUGCUUUAUACACUAGUCUAGUAUGACAGGCUUGUUGGUUAAUGCAAAUAAGUAUUCAAUAAUUAACGUAUAUGUAGCUCAUAGUACAAGUGAAUUUCAUUUAGGAUAAUAUGUGUUUUCUUUCAAUAUUAAUUAACCUUAUGACAAUGCUAGUUUCUAGUGUUACUAGAUGAUUUGACCAUCUUUCCUUUGUUGGUGAACUUGAACUUGUUUCAUAUGAUGCUAGUUUUUGGAUUACUCCUAGGUUGGUUCACUAUUGUGCUCCCUAAUAUUAUAGUUCUCGCUUCUUCAAUUACCAUUAAAUCAUAUCUCUAUUAUCUUGAAACUCAUAGGUUGUAAUAUCAUUGCUCUAAAUCAUGUAGCAAUUCAAUUCUCCAAACCUUGCAGUUAUAGAAUCAGUCAGCACACUAUUUUUUAUUUUUUUUGUGGGGAUCAGGUUUUUGCACCACUCACUCAUCUGAUUAUCGUACACUUAACAUUUGUGUGAAGAACUCAUAUAUAGCUUUCAGAAACUUACAGUAAGAUUGUAAUGCAAUUCUAUGUCUCAUUACAUUUCUGUAAUUUUGGGAAUUAGAAGGAAUGCAGAAAAUGUUUGAGUAUUUUUCAAGAUGAUGAAAAGGUGUGGUUGUUAACAGAAUGUCAACAUAUUUAUCAUUACGGGUACUUGCAUAUGUGGCUUAGUGCUCAUCCUAGUUUGCCCACUUUCUAGAGCUUCCCUCUAUACCUGUUAGUAAUCAAUUUUCUAAAGAAUUUAACAUAUUAUUAAUUUCUUGGUAACUUCAUAUGUUUUAUUGCGGAAUUAAUCAUAUAAUACAUUCAAAUUUCAGUUUUCAAUUAAUGGUUACCAUUACCACUCAGUUGGUUUUGGUGCUAAUUAUUAUUUGAAACAUUUUGGUUUCUGUUCAGACAUAAUACGGACCUUUUAAUUGUGCAUAUGGUCGCUAUGUUUUUGUUGUUACUGCUUAGUGGUGUCAACUUUUGUGAUUGGCUGGGUUGAAAUGUUAACAUGAUUUAUACCUUGCAUUUAUUCCAUAGCUGCUAUGCAUUCACUAUGUGGUGUGUUGAUAGAGAGAUGUGGGAGAGGGAAGAAACUGAACGAACCACAACAGGGGAGAGACAGAGCAAAGUGAUUUAGAGAAAAAUGGCUGCAAUGUUGCGUGCGACAUAGAGAGAUGGAGUGAGAGGCCGCACUUGCGGCACAAAAAAUGAUUCAUUUUUAUGAUCCUGGCUGCGAUUUUACGAUCUUGGCUACGGUUUUCACAGCAAAUGAUUUUGUAUUGGAUCUAUUGUGGGGGACCAUUAAGAUCGCAUGAUCUUACAAUUUAAAUCGUGACUUUGAUAACCCUGAUAGUAUGCACAGAUUCAAGUUAACAAUGAUCAUCUUAUGGUUUUUUAUGUUUUAGCUCUUGCUUCUUGAUAGUGUUUAAUGGAUUACAAGAUAACUGAUUAUUCUUGUUGAAUGAUUAAUGUCAAAAUGAAAGUUUUGUAUAUUUUGGUCUUUUAUUUGCAAGGGUUUUAAAGUUGUUUUGAAGAUAUAUCAUCAUCAUAUGGUUGUGUAAAUGAUAUUAUUGAAUUCUUACACACAUGCAACACAGUGUACAAUUCAUAACAUUGGUAAAAUGACCUGAAUAUAAUUGAUUUAUUGUCUUAGAUUAUAGUGAAGUUCAUUUCCAUAUAUGUUGCCUUACAAUGUCUCAAUAUUUUAAUAUUUAUUGCACCUCAAUCCUCAAAAUAGACUUAUAACGUCAUAGUUGAAAUGUCUCUUUUUCAGGUUGGUUGUGUUUGUUCGUUUCAAUAGAAGGGUUAUUCUCUAGCUGGCUGAAUUGCUUAGGUUCAUUUGUGGGUCUGGAGCGUUGCUGAAUAUGGCGGUGAAAAAGGGUAAUAGUUUUAGGGUUGUGGAAUUCCUAAGUUCAUUUUGAUUAUUUAUUAUGGUGUAAAACUUGAUGAGGUGAAAAAACUUGUUCUGAAUAGAUAGGCUAAAUUUGUCUCUGGCUUUAUUAUUAAAUGUUGUUUGUAGGAAAAAAUACAAUCUUCAAAGUCUAAUAUGUUUGAUUUUCAUGUUUCAUCCUGUUAUUCUUGUUCUACCAGAAAAAGCUAGGAUAGUUACCAUUCUCAUAAACAAUGAAAAAUUCUAGAGUAAAAAAGUUUUUACUUGAAAGACAUGACUGCCACAUUCAUGGUUCAAAUUUUUUACAACUUUAUCUUGAAUUUAGAUAGUAAAACUUCAAAUUUUAUUUCCGGCAUGAUUAGGAUAGGCUUGAAAAUCAAACUGUAGUCAUGAUGCAGGAAAAAUUUAUCUGGACAUUGCAUAUUUUAGUAGGAGG
rnacentral:lncRNA from 1 species